rnacentral:lncRNA from 1 species
CCUGGUUGACCACAGACCACACCCCCACCUCACUGCCCACUGGUUGGCAGCCAGCCCUGUCCUCUCCCGGGGCUGGGCUCCCAGGGCUCUGGUUGUCAGUUAAGCAGCCCUGACAGCUGACAGCUUUCCGGAGCAGCCGGAGCCCAGUUAGCGUUCCUUCUCUCUUUUUUUUUUUCCUGCUCUUCCUUUCCCCUGGUGUUGUUGCAAGACUGGAAGCCUGACUGGAAUUUAAAGCAAGGCUUUGGGAUAAAAAUGUAUGCUAGCACCAAGCCGUGCUCUCCCAGCCUCCCAAUUCAGAUUGACAGCUGCCCACUUUCCGGGUCUGAGAACAGAACAACUGCCGAUUGUUAGAGGAAAGGUCUGGAGUACGAAGGUCAGAGAUGUGGGUCCACUCCCUCACCCUCCAAAGGGUGUGAUUUGCCACAGGAUGGCAGCAGCAUUCGACCCUGUGAAGUUCCUAUUGAGGACCCAGAGGAACAGGGACAGCAGGGCUCCAACUGCUGCAGCCCCACUCCAGCAGAACCCCGGACAGCUUCUGGAACUGCCUGGAGACCUGCUUCCGCAUCAGUGUUGGAGACUGCUGGUGACAGGACUGGGUCUCUUGAGGCCCCUCCCAACUGUCUGAUCCAUGAAUCCGAGGCAUUCAAGAUUUCACCACUGAAGGGAAGAAAAGCUUCCUUCUUACAUUAAAGAUAAUCCCCGGAAAGAGAAAAGCAAACAGUGAAGCAGAAAGUCACGUCGUCUUACUUCUCUACUUAUUCAAGUCAGAAAAGAAGAAAUCAAAGGCUUUAAAUCAUGGGCCUCAUGUUGACUAAGGAGCUUCUGAAAAGGAAUACAGUGGAAUAAAUUAGCACUGUGCCAGGCA